CCUACGGGUGGCAGCAGUGGGGAAUAUUGCACAAUGGGGGAAACCCUGAUGCAGCGACGCCGCGUGAGUGAAGAAGUAAUUCGUUAUGUAAAGCUCUAUCAGCAGGGAAGUAAAUGACGGUACCUGAGUAAGAAGCCCCGGCUAACUUCGUGCCAGCAGCCGCGGUAAUACGGAGGGGGCAAGCGUUAUCCGGAUUUACUGGGUGUAAAGGGAGCGUAGACGGGAGUGCAAGUCUGGAGUGAAAGGCGGGGGCUCAACCCGCGGAUUGCUGUUGAAACUGUAAGGCUGGAGUGCAGGUGAGGUAGGUGGAAUUCCUAGUGUAGCGGUGAAAUGCGUAGAUAUUAGGAGGAACACCAGUGGCGAAGGCAGCUUACUGGACUGUAACUGACGUUGAUGCUCGAAAGCGUGGGUAGCAAACAGGAUUAGAUACCCUGGUAGUC
rnacentral:rRNA from 1 species